AAUGGGCGAAAGCCUGACGCAGCAACGCCGCGUGGGGGAUGAAGGCUCUCGGGUUGUAAACCCCUUUCAGCAGGGACGAAUCAAGACGGUACCUGCAGAAGAAGCCCCGGCUAACUACGUGCCAGCAGCCGCGGUAACACGUAGGGGGCAAGCGUUGUCCGGAUUUAUUGGGCGUAAAGAGCUCGUAGGUGGCUGAGUAAGUCGGAUGUUAAAUCCCCAGGCUCAACCUGGGACACCACCCGAUACUGCUCUGGCUAGAGUCCGGUAGGGGAGCGUGGAAUUCCUGGUGUGGCGGUGAAAUGCGCAGAUAUCAGGAGGAACACCAGCGGCGAGGGCGGCGCUCUGGGCCGGUACUGACACUGAGGAGCGAAAGCGUGGGUAGCAAA
rnacentral:rRNA from 1 species